rnacentral:rRNA from 1 species
UACAGAGGGGGCAAGCGUUAUUCGGAAUUAUUGGGCGUAAAGGGCGCGUAGGCGGCAUGGCAAGUGGAUGGUGAAAUCCCUCGGCUUAACCGAGGAACUGCCGUCCAAACUGCUUCGCUUGAGACCGGGAGAGGUGAGUGGAAUUCCCAGUGUAGCGGUGAAAUGCGUAGAUAUUGGGAGGAACACCAGUGGCGAAGGCGGCUACCUGGACAGAAACUGACGCUGAGGCGCGAAAGCUAGGGGAGCGAACGGGAGU